rnacentral:sRNA from 1 species
UGAUAAAAUACAUUUCAUAUUAUUACUGA